rnacentral:rRNA from 1 species
CCAAUAGCGUAUAUUAAAGUUGUUGCAGUUAAAAAGCUCGUAGUUGAAUUUCGGGAUCAAUUUAUUGGUCGUGCUAUUGUACGUACUGGUAUUAUUGAUUCCUACCUUCUGACGAACCAUGAUGUCAUUAAUUUGGUGUCAUGGGGAAUCAGGACUGUUACUUUGAAAAAAUUAGAGUGUUUAAAGCAGGCUCACGCUUGAAUACAUUAGCAUGGAAUAACGAAAUAGGCCGUUUGAUUCUAUUUUGUUGGUUUCUAGGAUCGACGUAAUGAUUAAUAGGGAUAGUUGGGGGCAUUAGUAUUCAAUUGUCAGAGGUGAAAUUCUUGGAUUUAUUAAAGACUAACUACUGCGAAAGCAUUUGCCAAGGAUGUUUUCAUUAAUCAAGAACGAAAGUUAGGGGAUCGAAGACGAUCAGAUACCGUCGUAGUCUUAACCAUAAACUAUGCCGACUAGGGAUCGGAUGAUGUUAAUUUUUUAAUGACUCAUUCGGCGCCUUACG